UACGGAGGGUGCAAGCGUUGCUCGGAAUCACUGGGCGUAAAGAGCGUGUAGGCGGUUUCGUAUUUCCGGCGUGAAAGGCCCGGGCUCACCCCGGGAAGUGCGCUGGAAACUGCGAGACUAGAGUCCCGGAGAGGAAGGUGGAAUUCCUGGUGUAGCGGUGAAAUGCGUAGAUAUUUGGAAGAACACCGGUGGCUAAGGCGGCCUUCUGGACGGUGACUGACGCUGAGAAGCGAAAGCGUGGGGAGCAAACAGG
rnacentral:rRNA from 1 species